CCCCUGCAGCUCAGGGUGGUGGGGUGGGGGUGGGGGUGGGGUGCGGGGUGGGUGGGGGAGUGGUGGGGGUGGGUGGGUGGGGGUGGGGGGGUGGUGGGGGUGGGGUGGGUGGGGGUGGGGGUGUGGGGGUGUGGGGGUGUGGGGGUGUGGGGGUGGGGGGGAGGGCGGAGUCUGCGUUCUGACUUCUCCCGCUUAUGUUUUCUUGCUCCAGGAACUAGCCGCAUGGGCUCCAUGGGUCAGCCUUGCUGCUGGCACCCAGAGGCGCAGGGGACGCUCAGACGACAGAUGGCCCCACGAAGACCCAAACCGACCGUUUUCAACUCCAAUGCCGGCCUCAGUCUAGCAGUCUGUAGCCAGUGGGGGAAGCCACUCCUCCGCAGCCUAGGGGGGUCUCAGCCGCAAGCCCCGGGAUCCUGGAGCCUCCUUCCGGAACCCUUUCCUUAGGGGCCCUCGGGGCGGGGCAGGAAGGUCUGCAGUCGCGACUUUUCUUUUCUUUGCCCCCUCCUGGCUCAGGCGUCCCCAGGUCCGCACGCGGAGCCUCCGUCUGCCGCGGGGCGACCUGCCGGGUGCGGACAAUCAGAUCCUGAGCCUCACGCUCCACCGCGUGCGCUGCGCACCGGCUCGCGGCUCCUGCAAUCUGAGCACCGGCCGCCCGCAGGUCCCCGUCCGCUCUCACGCGCAGCCCGGUGGGGUUUGGGAAACCCGAGAGCAGAGCUAGGGGCUGGAGAUCAUCAGGAAGUCCUUGCGGCGGGCCCCGAAGGACCGGGUGGACAAGGAUGGACUGCGGGGUGUUUGCCCCGAGGCUUUCCCGGAAGCCAUCCUUCCACGACUGCGUGGGACCCCUGGACCCGCUCGGAGGACCGCGUCCUGCGGAGGCUGAAGGCGUUCCGGGGCCGAGAAAGGGCCCGCGCUGGGAUCCAACCAUCCCCCACCCCCAGCAUCUCCGCAUCUGCGCCCUCCGCGCCCCAACUCCUCUGCAGAAACCCACGCGGGCCGUGGGCGCCCUCGUGCGACAGAAGAAUUAACUAGCGCCGCCAGCACGAGGCGCAGGGUCUGUCCAGGGACCAUCAGGACCGCGAGUUUCAGGUGGAGACCCAGAGAGAGGUGGAGGCUGCAAUGAAAGUGUCAGGGUAUUGGGAUGUGACCUCAUUACCCAGGAAGAUGAAGGCAGAGACGGAAGGGGCCCCAGGAUUAAAAACUAACAUAUCCAUUUUGCAGCAGCUGGACAGU
rnacentral:lncRNA from 1 species